AUACGGAGGAUCCGAGCGUUAUCCGGAUUUAUUGGGUUUAAAGGGUGCGCAGGCGGCCAUUUAAGUCAGCGGUUAAAUCGCGGGGCUCAACCCCAUUCUGCCGUUGAUACUGGGUGGCUUGAUUGCGGUCGAGGUUGGCGGAAUUCGUUGUGUAGCGGUGAAAUGCAUAGAUAUGACGAAGAACACCGAUUGCGUAGGCAGCUGACCAGAUCGCAAAUGACGCUCAUGCACGAAAGUGCGGGGAUCGAACAGGAUUAGAUACCCUGGUAGUCCGCACAGUAAACGAUGAAUACUUGUUUUCGGCGAUAUAAUGUCGGAGGCAAAGCGAAAGCGAUAAGUAUUCCACCUGGGGAGUACGCCGGCAACGGUGAAACUCAAAGGAAUUGACGGG
rnacentral:rRNA from 1 species